GACGAACGCUGGCGGCGUGCUUAACACAUGCAAGUCGAACGAUGACGACCGAGCUUGCUCGGUCUGAUUAGUGGCGGACGGGUGAGUCACACGUGAGCACCCUGCCCUUCACUCUGGGAUAACCUCGGCAAAUCGGGGCUAAUACCGGAUAUGAGCUCCUGUCGCAUGGCGGGAGUUGGAAAGUUUUUCGGUGCAGGUUUGGCUCGCGGCUUAUCGGUUUGUUGGGGUGGUAGUGGCUCACCCAGGCGAUGACGGGUAGCCGGCCUGAGGGGGCGACCGGCGACAAUGGUACUGAGAGAGGGCGCAGACUCCUACGUGAGGCAGCAGUGGGGAAUAUUGCACAAUGGGCGAAAGUCUGAUGCAGCGACGCCGGGGUAGGGAUGACGUCCUGCGGGUUGUAAACCGCUGUCAGCAGAGAACAAGCGAAAGUGACGGUACCUGCAGAAGAAGCGCCGGCUAACUACGUG
rnacentral:rRNA from 1 species